UCAGUAACACGUAGUCAACAUGCCCAGGGGACGUGGAUAACCUCGGGAAACUGAGGAUAAACCGCGAUAGGUCAUAAUAUCUGGAAUGAUUUAUGGCCAAAAUCUAACAUGGCCCCUGGAUUGGACUGCGGCCGAUCAGGCUGUAAGGUGAGGUAAUGGCCCACCGAAACCUAAAACCGGUACGGGCUCUGAGAGGAGAAGCCCGGAGAUGGGCACUGAGACAAGGGCCCAGGCCCUAUGGGGCGCAGCAGGCGCGAAAACUCUGCAAUAAGCGAAAGCUUGACAGGGUUAUUCUAGAGUAGAUAAUCCGCUAAGGAAUCUUAUUGGCACCUCUAAGAAU
rnacentral:rRNA from 1 species